GGCUUAUUAGUUCAGUGGUAAAAUCGUCCCUUAGGGUGGGACAGUCCCCGGUUCGAUUCCGGGAUAAGCCC